rnacentral:rRNA from 1 species
AGAAUGAGAGCUUCGGCAGGAAUUUUUCUUAUCUUUUAGGCGGACGGGUGAGUAACGUGUGGGCAACCUGCCCUGCACUGGGGAAUAAUCAUUGGAAACGAUGACUAAUACCGCAUACGGUUCCUGGGAGGCAUCUUCCGGGAAAGAAAGGAUUUAUUCGGUGCAGGAUGGGCCCGCAUCUGAUUAGCUAGUUGGUGAGAUAACAGCCCACCAAGGCGACGAUCAGUAGCCGACCUGAGAGGGUGACCGGCCACAUUGGGACUGAGACACGGCCCAAACUCCUACGGGAGGCAGCAGUGGGGAAUAUUGCACAAUGGGCGAAAGCCUGAUGCAGCAACGCCGCGUGAAGGAAGAAGGGUUUCGGCUCGUAAACUUCUAUCAACAGGGACGAAAGAAAUGACGGUACCUGAAUAAGAAGCCCCGGCUAACUACGUGCCAGCAGCCGCGGUAAUACGUAGGGGGCAAGCGUUAUCCGGAAUUACUGGGUGUAAAGGGUGAGUAGGCGGCAUGGUAAGCCAGAUGUGAAAGCCUUGGGCUUAACCCGAGGAUUGCAUUUGGAACUAUCAAGCUAGAGUACAGGAGAGGAAAGCGGAAUUCCUAGUGUAGCGGUGAAAUGCGUAGAUAUUAGGAAGAACACCAGUGGCGAAGGCGGCUUUCUGGACUGAAACUGACGCUGAGGCACGAAAGCGUGGGGAGCAAACAGGAUUAGAUACCCUGGUAGUCCACGCAGUAAACGAUGAAUACUAAUUGUUCGGGUCAAAUG